rnacentral:rRNA from 1 species
UACGUAGGCAGCGAGCGUUGUUCGGAGUUACUGGGCGUAAAGGGUGUGUAGGCGGUUCUUUUAAGUUUGGUGUGAAAUCUCCCGGCUCAACCGGGAGGGUGCGCCGAAUACUGAGGGACUCGAGUGCGGGAGAGGAAAGUGGAAUUCCUGGUGUAGCGGUGAAAUGCGUAGAUAUCAGGAGGAACACCGGUGGUGUAGACGGCUUUCUGGACCGUAACUGACGCCGAGACACGAAAGCGUGGGUAGCAAACAGG